rnacentral:lncRNA from 1 species
AGGGAGUUUCGGGUACUUACCUUUUCUCCGACAUUGCCAAUUACUUGUUCGAGAGGGUGAUCUUUGAUUGUCCUCCACUCGUUAGGCAUUUUCGUUUCUUUCUCCAAUUGUGGCGUUUCCUCCGUUUAUUGUUCCAAGAUUUCAUCUUGAAUUUCCUUAGGAGUUUCUUCUUGUACUUUGUCUUUUAAUCUAUUUAAAAUACCUGUAAGAUCAGAACAAGAAUCCUCUCUCGCCAAGCGAGC